ensembl:rRNA 5S_rRNA 5S ribosomal RNA
GUCUCAGGCCGGAUCAGCCUGAAGUCGCCCGAUCUGGUCUGAUCUCGGAAGCUAAGCAGGGUCGGGCCUGGUUAGUAUCUUGGAUAGGAGACCACCUGGGAAUCCCGGGUGCUCGAGGCU